AAACACUUCACACUUUACACUCACUUCCUUUAGCAACAAAGUCCCGAGUCUCCACUUUUCUUAUCCGAGUGAACAGAUUCAUAUCAUCGACACACAAUCUCAGGAUGCUUUCACUCUUUCUCAUUGUCUCUCUGAUGCUUUCUGGAGCUGUAAGUGCUUCACAUCAUCACUCCCGGAAAUCAUCCUCGAGCGAUGAGGGGUUUUUCCAUCACUACCCAGUACAGCGGCCGAACUGGUUUAACAUCCUGUGGCCGUACUAUCCAUGGAUUAUUCCACGCCUGGCCCCUGGUCCUGGCCCCGCCCCUGGCCCUGGUCCUGCCCCUGGCCCCGGCCCCGCCCCUGGUCCUACACCUGGUCCACCCAUCACCACUGCAAACCGUGGAGACAGCGUCUAAAUCUCGUCUAGACUCGGAUCUCUCCUGAACAAAUUACAGAAAAAAACUCAGAGUUCAUGACCAAGUAGAUUUAAAGAAGAUUUAAGUGUUUAAUAAACGCAGUAGAGAUGAGGAUGUGUAAGUGAUACACUCACAGAUAAAAAAAACAUUCCUUCCAGUUUCCUUCUCAUUUAUCCGGAAAUUCCAUGAUCAUCGCUCCUCAGUGAAGUCUUACUGAAACCUUUAACUCCUUUAUCACUGAAUUUGUUUGUUUCUUUGCUCUUGGUCAUAAACUCAGCCUUUUUUUUUGUCCUGUAUACUCUCACACACACAGUUGAGACACACACACACACACACACAC